rnacentral:rRNA from 1 species
AUGUGUGGCAUGCAGACUCUUGAAACCAGAAAGCACCUUUUUUUCCACUGUCCUUUUGCAAGGCUUUGUUGGAGUUACCUAUGCCCAAGCUGGUCCCCAACUUAUUCUGGUAUUGCAGAAGUCAAUCAACUCAAGCAGUUUCUCAAGGUUCCCUUUAACUUAGAAAUCAUCAUCCUGACAUCUUGGGCUAUCUGGCUUACCAGGAAUGAUUACAUCUUCAAUCCUCCUAGUGUCUACAAAUGCAGGCAAAGAUUGAAGGAAGAGAUUCUUUGGCUAAAGCACAGGGCCACAAGGAAAGAUUAUGCUAGCUUUGAAGAUUGGGCUAACAACUUCAGAUAUUGUGCUCUGACAACCUCCUGUGCAUGCUGUUGUAUUUGUUGUUGUUAUUUCUUUCCUUCCUUGUUUUUUUUUUUGUAUUUGAUACUCCGUACCAUUUAUUUAAAUCAAUAA